rnacentral:rRNA from 1 species
GAUGAACGCUGACAGAAUGCUUAACACAUGCAAGUCUUUGGCGAAUCUGUGCUUGCACAGGCUAGCCAAGGCGGACGGGUGAGUAACGCGUAAAGAACUUGCCCUGCAGACAGGGAUAACAGACGGAAACGACUGAUAACACCUGAUACAGUUGCCGGCACGCAUGUGCCUGGCAAUGAAAAGAGAUGCUGCAGGAGAGCUUUGCGUCCUAUUAGCUUGUUGGUGAGGUGACGGCUCACCAAGGCGAUGAUAGGUAGCCGGCCUGAGAGGGUGAACGGCCACAAGGGGACUGAGAUACGGCCCUUACUCCUACGGGAGGCAGCAGUGGGGAAUAUUGGACAAUGGGGGCAACCCUGAUCCAGCAAUUCUGUGUGCACGAAGAAGGUUUUCGGAGUGUAAAGUGCUUUCAGCAGGGAAGAAGAAAGUGACGGUACCUGCAGAAGAAGCGACGGCUAAAUACGUG